GAACGACUCUCGGCAACGGAUAUCUCGGCUCUCGCAUCGAUGAAGAACGUAGCGAAAUGCGAUACUUGGUGUGAAUUGCAGAAUCCCGUGAACCAUCGAGUUUUUGAACGCAAGUUGCGCCCUAGGCCAUCCGGCUGAGGGCACGCCUGCCUGGGCGUCACG
rnacentral:rRNA from 1 species